rnacentral:rRNA from 1 species
AGGACGAACGCUGGCGGCGUGCUUAACACAUGCAAGUCGAGCGGUAAGGCCUUUCGGGGUACACGAGCGGCGAACGGGUGAGUAACACGUGGGUGAUCUGCCCUGCACUCUGGGAUAAGCCUGGGAAACUGGGUCUAAUACCGGAUAUGACCUGCUCUCGCAGUGGGGGUGGGUGGAAAGAUUUAUCGGUGCAGGAUGGGCCCGCGGCCUAUCAGUCGUUGGUUGGUGGGUAAUGGCCUACCAAGGCGACGACGGGUAGCCGACUGAGAGGGUCGACCGGCCACACGUGGGACUGAGACCGACGGCCCAGACUCCGUAACGGGAGGCAGCAGGUAGGGAAUAUGGACAAGUGGGACG